rnacentral:tRNA from 1 species
CAAAGUAUAGCUUAAUUCAAAGCAUCUAGCUUACACCUAGAAGAUAUCAUGCAAAAUGACUACUUUGA